rnacentral:tRNA from 1 species
GCUAAUAAAGGAUAACAGCCGAUCCGCUGGUCUUAGGCACCAGAAACUCUUGGUGCAAAUCCAAGUAUUAGCU